rnacentral:rRNA from 1 species
GAGUUUGAUCGUGGCUCAGGAUGAACGCUGGCGGCGUGCUUAACACAUGCAAGUCGAACGGGGUGCUCAUGACGGAGGAUUCGUCCAAUGGAUUGAGUUACCUAGUGGCGGACGGGUGAGUAACGCGUGAGGAACCUGCCUUGGAGAGGGGGAUAACACUCCGAAAGGAGUGCUAAUACCGCAUGAUGCAGUUGGGUCGCAUGGCUCUGACUGCCAAAGAUUUAUCGCUCUGAGAUGGCCUCGCGUCUGAUUAGCUAGUAGGCGGGGUAACGGCCCACCUAGGCGACGAUCAGUAGCCGGACUGAGAGGUUGACCGGCCACAUUGGGACUGAGACACGGCCCAGACUCCUACGGGA